GUCCUCAUUUUAAAUCAGCCAAUAAGUGAGUUCGAUUUCGCCACGUCAACAUCGCUGGAUCAGAAAUGGAUUUCGGGUGGGUUUUAUAAAAAUUAUAAGUUCAUCCUUCGCAAGCCCAAAACCUAUUUCUUCUCAGAUUCCCCUCCCCCCACCCCGACUCUUUGGCUUCAUCUUCUCCGAUCUAUAUCAAUCAAUGAUCUUUAAAAUCUUUCUCAAUGUUUCAUUUUACCUCUGACGAUUCUUCAUCUUUCAAAUCCAGAUAUUUCAUGAAUUUAUCAACCACUUGGUAUAAGUUUAGGGCCAUACACACAAACCCUCACUACCCCAAACCAAGUUCUCUGUAGUUCCUACUUUUCUACUCUUCUUUUCCGUCAUGGCUCACCUCGAUUUUCUCUUCCUAAUUUACAUUCGACAAUCACACACAUGGCUAUACUUUGUGGCUAUCGAUGGUUUGAUAACACACAAUGAUUGACUCUUGCAGGCUGGUGGGCUGCUUAGAUUUUGGGAAGCAAACGUCAAAUGCGGUUGGGAGUUGAUGGAGUGUAUAUGUUUCUCCUCCAUGCCAAGAUUGCUGAAGACACUAAGGGCUAAACAAUUGUCUCACCAAAAGGUCAGAGUUUCAUAGAUUAUGACAACUGCAAUAUCUAUAGAGGAUGUGAGAAGAUAAGUUAAAACCUACGGGCGUUAUCUGGAUAUAACGAUCUGGUAUAAUUCUAUGAUGAGUUCGAGGAAAAUGCCAGUGACUACAUCGUUAUAGAAAUUAUAUAAACUGCUGUUGGUUUAUUUGGAGGUGGAGAAUACACUAAUGGAGUGGAUGCAGCAGCGGUUAUGGUGGCCAAAGCUGGGAGCAGCGACCGUCCUUCCAUUUCAUGCUUAAACAGCCCAACUUUCCUUCAUGUUGAGCUACGCCGAGAAACUAUGGUGAAGAAGCGUUACAGAAUACAAGGCUCUGUUUCCCGCAAUCGUUUUUCAACAGUACGUAAGAACAUCAUACUGGUUACAUCUGAUCAAUAUCUCUACCGAUAAUAUAUUGUUAGAAAGAUUCUUAUGCUUGAAAGUUACAAUGAUAUUUUGUGGAAGCCGAGUCUCCCCAGACGAAGUUGCAGCUAGAGGUGUAGAGUUCAUUAACUGGUGGUUGCCAUGUAUACUAAAAUAACAUUUUUGUUCCUUUUUAGUUACUAAUUAUUUUUCCAUUAAUUUGAAAAUAUAUAUAUGCCAUUUGCUUUGUCAACUCUCUGGAUAAGGAAAGAAAAGGAGAUUGCAAAUAUAUCUCACAGUGUCUUUCUGCAUGGCGUCUUAACAUAAAUUACGACAUACGAUAGAGUUGUCUUUAGAGUAAGCUACCUUAAUGCAUAAACCUGAAGAAAUGCAUGAACUGUUUGCUAAUGAAACUAUUCAACAUUUUCCAGCUUCAAAAAGGUUAUGAUCAAUAUUAUAGUCUCUGAGAUGCAUGCAUCAGACGUGCAUAAAGCUAUUCAUCAUUUUCCAGCUUCAAGGUUAGAAGGUCAAGCUCCUCAAAUAUUCCCCACUAUUUGUCACACAACAAACCGAGAUGUAUCACAAUUAAAAAAAUAAAAUAUCACACUGUAAUACUAUUUGUAGCUCUAAUGUAGUAUUUGAAUUCAUUAUUUUAUUCCAUCCUAAACAAAUAUUUUCAUCGCUAAUAUAUAAAACAUGACCAGACUGUCUGCUUGAAUUGUGUUAGCAACCUUCUUGACACCAAACUCAUAUUGUUCUUUUAUUUUGAUACUUUGGCUCCGACUGGUGACAUAUAGUAUUAGAGUUGAAUUACAGUAUGAUUUAUAGUUUGAUGUAACUUGCAGUAAAACGUAUGUGGUAGAAACUGUAAGUUUAUGUGGUAAGUUUGCAGUAAAAAUAAAAGGUACCAUUUCAUUAAAAAUUAUGACUGGUAACAUUUUUGAUGUAUAAAUUGCAGUAUAGAUUUUGAAUUAAAAAUGAAUAUAUAAACCUUUCAAACCAUUAAGAUAUUUUUAAAUAAAUAAAAAUAAAACUUAUUUUAGAAAGAAUUAAAAGUUUGAAAGAUAAUUUUCAGUAUAUAUUAUAUUCUAAAUACUAUAAUAAUUAAUAAUACUACUUAUUCUAAUAUCAAUAAUAAUUUAAAUUAAAGGAAAUGUUAAUAAUAGCAUGAAAUUUAUAAGAAAAUUUAAUAAUUGGUUAUAUAGAAUUUUGUGACUGAUAUUUUGUUUGAACUAUCAAAUAAAAUUUACACUUAAGAUUUUUGUAAUAAUUGGUUAAAAGUUUGAAUAGAUUAAAAAAAUAGGAACAAUAAAGAUUAUAAAAUAUUUGACUAGAAGAAAUUUAGGUUAAGUAAUAGUUUCAAAUAAAAAUAAACUUAGAUUCUGUAAUGCUAUAAUUGUGGAAUUGAAACAUAAAUAGUAUUUAAAAUUUACAAAGCAACAAAAAAAAGUAUACGGCCACACACUGAAGUACUUGAAAGUCACGAUUUUUAUUUUUUUUAAACAGAAAAAUCAAUCAAAUUUGUAACUCAAGUUAUAAAACAUGGGAUUUUGGUUGAUGUAAGUUUUUGUUUUGAGUUAACAAUUUUAUAAAGGGCUUAAGUCAAAGUUGUAACUCAACUAUAACACAUCUUAAAUCAAACCUAAAAUCAAAAAUUUAAAUUUAAUGCAUGAUUGGUAACAUUUUUGAAU